CCAUAUAAAUUGGAGUGGCUGUUGAUUUUGGAGCCCUUCUUAUGAGACAAUUGUGUUUCCAAUUAGGGAUUUCCUUCUCUUACAUGCACAACAUGUUUUUUUUUUCCUUUGCAAGAUGGCUUAAAAUGCCUGCCAUGUGCUGAUAAGCUCUGUGCUAGACCUUUUGUCUUCUCCUGCUGUAUGUGUGCAGGCCAAUGUGCACAAUGCUGAGGUAGAUACAACUCCCCAAAUCCACUGCCAGUCAUAAAAAAGCUGAUCCAGGACAGCUCUUGUUCUCCCCAGGAGCUGUGGGCAUGUAUAGAAAAUUCAGUAAUUCAGAUGCUUGUUGAACACUGCCAAAUUACAGUGGAAUUACUUGGUUUAUAGAUGGUCUCAGGAGGCUGAGAAGGUGGAUAAGUGCUGGCAGAGGGCAAUUCCAGCUGUUGUGGUCUCCUUGGGAAGAGGCCUGGCCAUGGGGAGGAUCCCACAGAGCCAGGGGAACAGGAGUGAGGAACAGGAGGCACUGAGAGGCUCCCAGAGAACGAGUUUCUGCUGGGGAAAAGGAAGCAGUGAAUGUCCUUGCAUGAAAAAAGAGAGCUUUAGCCAGAUCUGAGUUUUGUCUGGAAAAAAUGUCAUUUUGAUGAAACAGAAAUUGCUGAAGAAAUCUUACCAAUUUUGACAAUUCUGCUUGGAAGGGAGCUGGGGAGGAAUAUCUUGAAAGUGCUGGAGCUCCCAGUUAUGACACUUUCUGAAUGGAAAGGGGUUUUGAUUUAUUUCUUCUUCUCUUUCCAAAGUGAUGUUUCAAAAUGUGCUGUUUUGUGGAGGAACAAAAUGGUUGAAUUAAAGACCUGGAAAAAAAAAGGAAAUAAAAUAUUUUGACUGA